GCCUUUCCUGAGCAGGCGUCUGGUUUUGGCAUUUUUUUUAUCCAGUUUGGGAAAUGGCAAGUGUUUUCAUGUGUAAAACUUCCUCUGCUAACCACACUGUAGUACUGUACGGUAUUGUGUGUUACCCAAAGAAACUUUGCCUCAUAUCAAAGUUCUGUGGGGAAGGAGUGUCCUGGUGGUCCGGCGGUUUGAGGCUUAUACCAGCGAGCUGUGAUGUCCACGGCGCAUUUCCGGCCAGAGACCUUUGUCACAUUUCAUCAUGAACAACAGCCUUUUAUUUACACUUCUGUCAAUCUAAUUAAAGCCUGAAUUCCCUUGUAAACAAAAAAAACUGGCAACAAAAUGUUCAAGAGUUUUAAGAAAGUAAAUGCAUGAAACAGCACAAAGGUUUUUCCUCAAACACACAUUUUAUAAAGGUUCAGACAAUUUUUCUUUCAACCAUUCUGUGGAUUAAUUAGGGCAAAUAAAUACAUAAAAUGCCGUACAGACAAAAUUUUAUGCAUCAUGAAUUUAUGUUUACGCAAUUAAAUAUCUAGUCUAGUGCCAGUUCUGUAAUUCAGUUUAAAUACAUGAUUUAGUUGACGGGUUGAGUUCCAGACUGUGUAUUUCUCUUUGGGAUGGAACACAAAACCAGCCAAAGUGUGGUUGUUGACGAUGUGUGUCUCUGUUUUUGGGUGUGUGUUAGUGACAGGGGAAAAAUUGUGGUUGAGAGUGGUGGCGGGACUGUAGUACAAUCAAGAGAAAGCUCAGCUGCACUUGGGACUGUAUGUGUGGAAGAUUACUAAGGUGGUCAGAAUUUAAGAUUUCUAGGUAGCUACUGACAAACUCUGAAGAAGAGGAGAGCAGAGUAAAGCAAAAAGAGAGGAGAAGAAGUGGGGGGUGCAUUGUUAGGGAAUCCAAAGGCGGCGUAAUUAGGCCCAAUGGAUCCCAGAUGGCUGGCUGUCAGUGACGUGAGAAGAGGGACGAGCUCCUAAUAGGAACCAGACGCUCACAAACGCCUUUGAACUGCCGCUGAGAGAGAAAGAGAGGGAGAGAGAGAGAAUCAAACGCGGCAUGGGCCAUGCGCUCUUACUAAAUAACUGGCAACGGGAGACGAGAGGAAGUGAGGAGGAGAGCAGAGAAGCGAGAAAAGUGGUCUGUCCAGAGCAGUGUAUGGACGUGGGCGUCUUAGUCCAGAUAUGUCACAGGUCUCUUUUUUUUUCUGCUUGUGUCACCCACAAAAAAUGAAACAUUUCAGUGUUUGCCACCUGCCUAUACUUGUGUGAAUUACAGGUUUGCAAAGCGUGCAUGCUUCUUUUUCCAGUUGCACACAUUCACACCUGGGAGGUACUAAGACAUCUACUCCUGGAAACUCACCAGCGCAGAUUAAGCAGCUGGAACAAGGCCUCUGACAAUUUAUCUUUCAUCGUUUUCAAGCAAAUGGUGUUUAUAAUGAAAUACACUUUUACCGUUUCCUAUCCAGAAAAGUCCCUGCACUGUUUUAAAAA